rfam:Oryza glaberrima chromosome 7 Oglab07_0132_6, whole genome shotgun sequence.
CUUAAGUGUUGUUAUAAUUAAGUUUUUUUUCUAAUUUUAAUCGUUCGGCUUAUUUAAUUUCUUUUUUAAAAAAAUAAAACAUAAGUCACGUAUAAAGUAAAUUUAUGUUUUAUCAUGUAAUAACAAUAAAAAUAUCAAUCUAAGAAAUUUUAAAUAAAAUGGAUGAUCAAAGUUGAACAUGGAAACUCAAGACUACGCUUAAA